rnacentral:rRNA from 1 species
CCUACGGGAGGCAGCAGUGGGGAAUAUUGGGCAAUGGGGGCAACCCUGAUCCAGCAACGCCGCGUGAGUGAAGAAGUAUUUCGGGAUGUAAAGCUCUAUCAGCAGGGAAGAAGGAAGUGACGGUACCUGACGAAUAAGCCACGGCUAACUACGUGCCAGCAGCCGCGGUAAUACGUAGGUGGCAAGCGUUAUCCGGAUUUACUGGGUGUAAAGGGAGCGUAGGCGGGGAAGCAAGUCUGAAGUGAAAGGCGAGGGCCCAACCCUCAGCCUGCUUUGGAAACUGUAUUGCUGGAGUGCUGGAGAGGUAAUCGGAAUUCCGUGUGUAGCGGUGAAAUGCGUAGAUAUGCGGAGGAACACCAGUGGCGAAGGCGGAUUACUGGACUGUAACUGACGCUGAGGCGCGAAAGCGUGGGGAGCAAACAGGAUUAGAUACCCGAGUAGUC